rnacentral:rRNA from 1 species
ACCUCAAAUCAGGUAGGACUACCCGCUGAACUUAAGCAUAUCAAUAAGCGGAGGAAAAGAAACUAACAAGGAUUCCCCUAGUAACUGCGAGUGAAGCGGGAAAAGCUCAAAUUUAAAAUCUGGCAGUCUUUUGGCUGUCCGAGUUGUAAUCUAG